rfam:Faecalibaculum rodentium strain Alo17, complete genome.
UGUGGUCAUCACAGUGCUGAGGAAAUACCUGUUCCCAUCCCGAACACAGAAGUCAAGCUCAGAGACGGUGACGAUAGCCGAAAGGCAAAAAUAACAAAUGGCCACUC